rnacentral:rRNA from 1 species
GCGGGAAGAGCUCAAAUUUGAAAUCUGGUGGCCUCAGGUCAUCCGAGUUGUAAUCUAUAGAAGUGUUUUCCGUGCUGGCUCAUGUACAAGUCCCUUGGAACAGGGCGUCAUAGAGGGUGAGAAUCCCGUCCUUGACAUGAACUACCAGUGCUCUGUGAUACAUUUUCAACGAGUCGAGUUGUUUGGGAAUGCAGCUCAAAAUGGGUGGUAAAUUCCAUCUAAAGCUAAAUAUUGGCGAGAGACCGAUAGCGAACAAGUACCGUGAGGGAAAGAUGAAAAGCACUUUGGAAAGAGAGUUAAACAGUAUGUGAAAUUGUUGAAAGGGAAACGAUUGAAGUCAGUCGUGCUCUUUGGAUUCAGCCGGUUCUGCCGGUGUACUUCCUUUGAGUGGGGUCAACAUCAGUUUUGAUCGCUGGAUAAAGGCUGGAGGAACGUAGUACCCUCGGGUAAACUUAUAGCCUCCUGUCACAUACAGUGGUUGGGACUGAGGAACGCAGCACGCCUUUAUGGCCGGGAUUCGUCCACGUACGUGCUUAGGAUGUUGACAUAAUGGCUUUAAACGACCCGUC